AUACGUAGGGAGCGAGCGUUGUCCGGAAUUACUGGGUGUAAAGGGAGCGUAGGCGGGAGUGCAAGUCAGAUGUGAAAUACAUGGGCUCAACCCAUGGGCUGCAUUUGAAACUGCAUUUCUUGAGUGAAGUAGAGGUAAGCGGAAUUCCUGGUGUAGCGGUGAAAUGCGUAGAUAUCAGGAGGAACACCGGUGGCGAGGCGGCUUACUGGGCGUUUACUGACGCUGAGGCUCGAAAGCGUGGGGAGCAAACAGGAUUAGAUACCCUGGUAGUCCACGCUGUAAACGAUGAUUACUAGGUGUGGGGGGACUGACCCCUUCCGUGCCGCAGUUAACACAAUAAGUAAUCCACCUGGGGAGUAUGGCCGCAAGGUUGAAACUCAAAUGAAUUGACGGGG
rnacentral:rRNA from 1 species